rnacentral:lncRNA from 7 species
AAAAAGCAUCUUACUACUUCCAAAGCAUCCCACAGCCUCAGAAGCCUGGCAAAGCCUUCGCUGAGCACUGUGCUGCUGCUGAGGUAGUGUGUACUGGGGGAAGAUCUACUCCAUGCAAGGGAGGAAGAAUGGUGAUAAAGACUGCUGUUAGGAACAGAACUUGCAUAAGGCCCACUGAUUUACACAGAGCUGAAAGAGCGACAGGCACUCAUCACCUAGAUCAUGGGAUGUCUAUGCAGAGUGACCAGAUGUCUCCCAUCAAGCAGGAGUGGCUGUUGCUGAUAAGGACUGAGUGUGGCUUCCUGCUGAAUAGCCCUGAAGAUCCUGGGUUUGGCUCCCACAAAUGCAGCACCCAGAGAGUGGUGGGGAUUGCAGGAGGUCGUCUUGGAAGAUGGGAGGCUGACGCUGAUGUGUUAUUAAGUGGGAACAGCCAAAACCCUCCAGACACAGCUCGUGAAACAAGUUUAUGAAGAACUGCAUAUGGACUGAGGGAAAGCAAAUAUUUUGUGUUUGUAGAAAAAGGAGAUCUUGGCUGCAACAGAAAAAGCAGCACUGGUUAACCUGAGGCAACGCACAGUCGAGCAGCAACAAAACGAACUUCCCCUUGGCUCUAGUGCCAAAUGUCUCAAGUGAUAAACCUUCGGGGGCCAUUAGGUAAAGGAAGAUUUUGAAGGGCAGCAGGUACUUGGAGUCAGAGGAAACAAUUUCCGAAUGGUUUGAGGCAGCAGCUGCGCUUGUGAUCAGACAGAGCUGUUGAUAGAGACAGGACUGGAAAUUAGAAGACCUCCUCUGAAAGAAAGGAAAAAAAACCAAAACAUUACAGUCAUUCAUGUUUCAAGCAAAGCCUGAGUUGUGCUUCAUCUGAUAACCACGUAAGUGAGUGGCGGUCAAAAAUGGAACAAUUUUUCCAUAUUGAUCUGAAGCAGCUCAUGAGAUUGCACUGCAAAAUCCUCACAAAAAUAUUAAUUUAAAAGUAUGUGCGGUGUCAUGGGAAGAGCAAGUGGAAAACGAUGAUACAUGAGCAGCAUCAAAUACUAGUGUGUGAUUUGAUUACCAAUGGUUAAGGCAGAUCCCUCUACUGUUCAGGGAAGUUCCUCUGCUUCAUAUAAUCAUGAGAGGCUUUCCCAUUAGGCAGAAGUCAUACUGCAGGAACUUGUGAAGUGUUCAUUAAGUACAGUAAAGGCAGGCGUAGGCUAAGGUGGAACUUUGUAAGCGAUUGAGUGUCACUUUGAUGGAUAGACUGUAGUGAGUUACACUCAGUAAAUCCUUGUGAUCUAUAUGUGCAUUGUCAUUCAGAAUGAAUUAUUAUUCCCUACUAAAGUGCUACUGAGAGACUAAGAAACGUCUCCACAUUGUGCAUUGUCAUAUCCUGGGUUACUGAGUUGAACAUCCUGAAUGUGCUCUCGCUGUACACAGAGUCCAGAGAGAAUUGGACCACUGUGAACAAUAUCUGAUAGCUCCCAAACCUCUCCUCCAAUGCUAUUUUCUAGGCCAAUCUACAGCAGUUUUAACACAUGCAAUGGGAAGAGGAAGAACUAG